UCUCUUCUCAUACUCGACUCUUCUCCUUCGUUUUCAGGGUGAGAGUUUCAUCUCUCUCGUCUUCACUCACUCUGCUUUUGGUCGACAUGAACAACAAUGACACCAUAAAAUCCUUCUCGAUCUCACCUCUCUCGCUCGAUCUCAGACUCUGCUCUCCAAUUUCUCGUUUCUCUCGUGAUGCGUUCACGGUUCAAACUCAAACACAAACAAACAUAUCAACAGAGAAUCUAAUCCCAAAUAAACCAAUACCCCAUGAUUUCAAUAUAUUCAGUGGAGAUUACAAGAUACAACCGGGAAUUAAAAUGCAGAAAUAAAGAAGACAAUCAAAUACGAAGAACAAAAUGGAAGUGGAGAUAAAGAGCACAACAAAAUACGAUGAAGGCGAAUGAAAAAAGAAGGGAUUUGUUCUACCAUUUCUAUGCAAUGUUUGGCAUGCUGUGUGCAGCAAGGGUGCAGAGUUUUUGGAGUGUAGUGUUGGUUCAGGGCAGGCUUGACAAAUGAUGGUACAAAUAUGCAGAGUGCUGUUGGUGAAGGCAGAGGCGUGGGAUAGAGCAAGAAGUGAAGACAAAAUAUGUUAUUAUUUUUUGUUUUCUUUUAGUGUAAAAAAAAAAUGUAAAUGGACCUUAUAGAAGAGAAUAAAUUGGGCCAAAACACACAAAGCCUUUUUGCA